GAUGAACGCUGGCGGCGUGCCUAAUACAUGCAAGUCGAGCGAACGGACGAGAAGCUUGCUUCUCUGAUGUUAGCGGCGGACGGGUGAGUAACACGUGGAUAACCUACCUAUAAGACUGGGAUAACUUCGGGAAACCGGAGCUAAUACCGGAUGAUAUUUUGAACCGCAUGGUUCAAAAGUGAAAGACGCUCUUGCUGUCACUUAUAGAUGGUUCCGCGCUGCAUUAGCUAGUUGGUAAGGUAACGGCUUACCAAGGCAACGAUGCAUAGCCGACCUGAGAGGGUGAUCGGCCACACUGGAACUGAGACACGGUCCAGACUCCUACGGGAGGCAGCAGUAGGGAAUCUUCCGCAAUGGGCGAAAGCCUGACGGAGCAACGCCGCGUGAGUGAUGAAGGUCUUCGGAUCGUAAAACUCUGUUAUUAGGGAAGAAAAUAUGUAGAAGUAACUGUGCACAUCUUGACGGUACCUAAUCAGAAAGCCACGGCUAACUACGUG
rnacentral:rRNA from 1 species